rnacentral:rRNA from 1 species
UACGUAGGUGACCAGCGUUGUCCGGAUUUACUGGGCGUAAAGAGCGCGCAGGCGGUCGUUCAAGUCGAGUGUGAAAGCCCCCGGCUCAACUGGGGAGGGUCACUCGAUACUGAUCGACUUGAAGGCAGGAGAGGGAAGCGGAAUUCCCGGUGUAGUGGUGAAAUGCGUAGAUAUUAGGAAGAACACCAGUGGCGAAGGCGGCUCACUGGUCCGGUACUGACGCUGAGGUGCGAAAGCGUGGGGAGCAAACAGG